rnacentral:rRNA from 1 species
AUUGAACGCUGGCGGAAUGCUUUACACAUGCAAGUCGAGCGGCAGCGCGGGGCAACCUGGCGGCGAGCGGCGAACGGGUGAGUAGUACAUCGGAACGUGCCCAGACGUGGGGGAUAACUACUCGAAAGAGUAGCUAAUACCGCAUACGAUCUAAGGAUGAAAGCGGGGGAUCGCAAGACCUCGCGCGUUUGGAGUGGCCGAUGGCAGAUUAGGUAGUUGGUGGGGUAAAGGCUUACCAAGCCCGCGAUCUGUAGCUGGUCUGAGAGGACGACCAGCCACACUGGGACUGAGACACGGCCCAGACUCCUACGGGAGGCAGCAGUGGGGAAUUUUGGACAAUGGGCGAAAGCCUGAUCCAGCCAUUCCGCGUGCAGGAUGAAGGCCCUCGGGUUGUAAACUGCUUUUGUACAGAACGAAAAAGCUCUGGUUAAUACCUGGAGUCCAUGACGGUACUGUAAGAAUAAGCACCGGCUAACUACGUGCCAGCAGCCGCCGUAACAC